rnacentral:lncRNA from 13 species
CUCCUGUUCCAGCAGAUAAUUUAUGACUUCCACAUCUUGGCGUUUCAUUAAAACCCAAAGCAUUUGACAAACUGUAUUUUCAGAAAGUUUUUUCCGUGAGUUGGUUUCUAGCAGGAGGAAUUUAUGAUGAGCUGACUUAAUCCUUGCUUUUUGGAGGCGUCUAAAAAAAGUUCUUUCUAUAAACAGCUGAAUUGCGUGAGGAGAACGGCAGACCAAGCAAUGGCUAGGACGUCUUUGUGAAAAAGCUCACCCCAUGCCGUUGUAAAGGCCCCGUGCGCUGCCCAGCUUUGGCGUCUACCUCCUGAGCUAAUUGUGCUGUCUGGAGGUUGGCAGGCUUCCAGCCUUACCUGGACCAGUUUCGCUCCCAAACCCAGGUUGCCUGUGUAUUCACUUAUCACAACAAACCACUGUGAAAUCAUUCACAGACUUUGGAAAUCACAUACGUAAGAUCUGCUGCCUGCGUGCUUGCCUGGAAGCCGACAUCAAGCCCAUUUGGCCAGAAAUACCUCUAGAGGUGGAGCUGGUCCAGAAGACUGGACCCCCAGAGUGCUAUGGAAUGUCUAUGGGAACAAAGGAUGAUCUAAUGGACAACAGAGAAACACGAUGAUCUGGAAUCUGAACUGUGCAAAAGAAUUAUCACUCACUGCAAGUCCCAGAGUGAACACUUUCUAUGAGAUACUCCAACAGCACAAUGUGUCAUGGAGCCAGGGGGACUGGGUUCGAAUCCCUGUUCUGCAGCAUAGCAGUUAUCUUUGGAUGCAUCACGUAACCUGUCUGACCUCCUGUUUCCUUUGGGAGAAUAAUAUCCACCUCACACAGUUGUGA